rnacentral:rRNA from 1 species
UGGGCGCAAGCCUGAUGCAGCGACGCCGCGUGAGGGAUGACGGCCUUCGGGUUGUAAACCUCUUUCAGUAGGGGAGAAGCGAAAGUGACGGUACCUGCAGAAGAAGCGCCGGCUAACUACGUGCCAGCAGCCGCGGUAAUACGUAGGGCGCAAGCGUUAUCCGGAAUUAUUGGGCGUAAAGAGCUCGUAGGCGGUUUGUCGCGUCUGCCGUGAAAGUCCGGGGCUCAACUCCGGAUCUGCGGUGGGUACGGGCAGACUAGAGUGAUGUAGGGGAGACUGGAAUUCCUGGUGUAGCGGUGAAAUGCGCAGAUAUCAGGAGGAACACCGAUGGCGAAGGCAGGUCUCUGGGCAUUAACUGACGCUGAGGAGCGAAAGCAUGGGGAGCGAACAGGAUUAGAUACCCUGGUAGUCCAUGCCGUAAACGUUGGGCAUUAGGUGUGGGGGACAUUCCACGUUUUCCGCGCCGUAGCUAACGCAUUAAGUGCCCCGCCUGGGGAGUACG